AUUGAACGCUGGCGGCAGGCCUAACACAUGCAAGUCGAACGAGCGGCGGACGGGUGAGUAAUGUCUGGGAAACUGCCUGCUGGAGGGGGAUAACUACUGGACACGGUAGAUAAUACCGCAUACCAUCAGAUGUGCCCAGAUGGGAUUAGCUAGUAGGUGGGGUAAAGGCUCACCUAGGCGACGAUCCCUAGCUGGUCUGAGAGGAUGACCAGCCACCCUGGAACUGAGACACGGUCCAGACUCCUACGGGAGGCAGCAGUGGGGAAUAUUGCACAAUGGGCGCAAGCCUGAUGCAGCCAUGCCGCGUGUAUGAAGAAGGCCUUCGGGUUGUAAAGUACUUUCAGCGGGGAGGCGUUACUCGCAGAAGAAGCACCGGCUAACUCCGUGCCAGCAGCCGCGGUAAUAC
rnacentral:rRNA from 1 species